rnacentral:rRNA from 1 species
AUUGAACGCUGGCGGCAGGCCUAACACAUGCAAGUCGAACGGUAACAGGAAGAAGCUUGCUUCUUUGCUGACGAGUGGCGGACGGGUGAGUAAUGUCUGGGAAACUGCCUGAUGGAGGGGGAUAACUACUGGAAACGGUAGCUAAUACCGCAUAACGUCGCAAGACCAAAGAGGGGGACCUUCGGGCCUCUUGCCAUCGGAUGUGCCCAGAUGGGAUUAGCUAGUAGGUGGGGUAACGGCUCACCUAGGCGACGAUCCCUAGCUGGUCUGAGAGGAUGACCAGCCACACUGGAACUGAGACACGGUCCAGACUCCUACGGGAGGCAGCAGUGGGGAAUAUUGCACAAUGGGCGCAAGCCUGAUGCAGCCAUGCCGCGUGUAUGAAGAAGGCCUUCGGGUUGUAAAGUACUUUCAGCGGGGAGGAAGGGAGUAAAGUUAAUACCUUUACUCAUUGACGUUACCCGCAGAAGAAGCACCGGCUAACUCC